UGUAUGAUUGAAAAUAGGAGAGAAAAAUAAAAUAUAAUGAACUAUAAUUUAAUGAGGGCCAAACGGGGCUUAAUAUACAUGAAAAUAUAGGCCAUAAAGUUCUUGGCUUACUUGAUCUAGGAUAAAAAAUUUUCAGGGAUAGAUACCGUAGAUUUUAGUGCUGGAUUAUGAUAAUUGAGAUUUCGCUUUGUUUUAAAAAAAAAAAAGAAAAAAGAAAAAAAAAAGGUUGAACCCCAACUUUGAGGGUCCCCCAUCGCCUCGUCCUUAGAGUUUUGUGAAGGAGGUAAAUCGCGGGAUGUGUCUCAGCAGGUCAGGGAACAAGAGUUGUCAGUACACUGCAUCUACAAUGAGUCCAAUUCCACGUCUCAGGAAUCGAACCCUCACACUACGGUUGCCAGCAAGAUAUGAGAUAACCUCACUCUUGCCCUUUGCACCAUUGGAUUAUGUCCCGAAAGGCAAGAUUUUGCUUUGUUAUUAUUUAUACAACAUGGUGAAAGAGCCUCAUUUAUAAUUCUUUUUCUGAACUUGCUUUGCACAACAGAUUAGUAGGUACGUCUCUGACUCACAAUACUAUCUCCAAGUCAAUUAUCGACAAAUAAGGAAUAAAUUGAAGGUUGUUCUCUUCUCAAUUCUGCAGAGAGACAUUGGACGAGAAUCACAGAGCCAGUGGGUGGCAGGCAUUCCUACAAAUCCCCCAUUUACGAUAUUAAUGCACCAGACUUGUAUAUUCUACUCAUGGCAUUUGGUACCUAUGUUGUUCUUGUCGGCUUAACUCUGGGUCUGAAUGGAAAGUUCAGCCCAGAAGCUCUGAACUGGCUGUUUGUCAAGGGGAUGGUGGGCUGGUUUUUGCAAGUCACACUGCUGAAAAUGUCAUUAUUUUCAUUGGGUGGUUGAGAGGCACCUUUGCUCGAGAUCGUGGCAUAUGCUGGAUACACUUUACUUUUAUAGGAUUGUCUCUGGCCUUCUUGCGACGAAUUUUCUCGAGCUAUCCAAAAAGCCAAAGAAAUCCAUGUAUACAUGUUGUGUCUGUUAAAGUGCUACAACACUUCACUACAUAUUUUUUGCGCUUGAUGUAGGAAGUUCCCCCUUUGAUGUGCCAGAACUACUGGCAUGUUUAGUAAGGCAGUCUAGCCCAUUUCUGGGUCAAAUUGGCAUUUAUAAAGGUAUGUGGUUGAUUAUGGUGAA